UGCAUCUGGGAUCAGAAAAUAUUUAAUUACUGUUGGCAGGUUUAAACCCCUUCUUUGGAUUUUCAAAACAGGAGAAGGAGACAGACUCUGCAAAGAAACAGCUAUGGAAAGUCAGCAGCUCUCACCAGUCCUAAAUCUUCUUUGAGUAUCUUGCAGCUGAAUUUUGGGACCAAAAUAAGCUAUGCAAGAAGGACUUCUCUGUUUUCCCACAGUAUGCAGUUGCAGCAGGCAGACGGAGAUUCCACUAGCCAGCAGCCAAAGAUACAAGAUACAUAUGCAGAGAAGAUAACAAGGUUUUAAAAAAAAAGGAGUGCUGAGAUCCAAAGCUGGGUGAUGUAAAUCUGGAAGAACUCCAAAGAAGUCAAGAGAGUUAGCUGGUCUCCAGCAUAAGACAGCAGAGAUGUGAUGCAGUAAGGAAAU